GAACAAAUUCCUAUGCCCCACAAAUAACCCAGAGAUGCAUUUUAAAUAAAAGCACACAUUCUACUCAUGUAAAAACACCAGGCAGGCCCCACAAAUAACCCAGAGAUGCAUUUUAAAUAAAAGGACACAUUCUACUCAUGUAAAAACACACUGAUUCCUGGACCGUCCAUGGGCCGGAUUUAGAAGGCGAUUGGGCCAUGUACUAGACUAGAGCAAUAGUUUCCUAGCGACCAAGGUGUUAGCUGGGGAAAGGACAUUUGGGUGAUCCAGGAAGAGACUUGCUACUACGAAUAAUGUCAUCUACACCAUUCUUCCACAUAUGAGCAAGCCUGGUAAGGAGCAGGCCUAUUCAAAGAGAUUAGGGGCAGUAGAAAAUCCUGUUAGCAGCACAGAGUCAGUGGGAAAGGGAUCAUCCUUUAAUUGACAGCAUCUGCAAUGACACAAUUAACUCGGCUGGCCUCUGGCUCCCGCAGAUCGGUCCUGAAGAUUGAGAAUCCAUUCCAUCUGCUUUUGGCAGUGGCAUGUGAAUGUUCAGUACACUCUUUGUCCAACGCUAGUAAGCAGCGAACAAGCUUUGCCUGCAAAAGUGUGAAUGUGGCUACAUAACACAUUAGCAUCUUGGACUGCAGCGAGGUCAUCCCCAGCCCCCAGCCCCCCCCCUGCUGGGCUUCAAGUCACAUUUGUACAUUGCUGUGCACACCAAAGAGAUGUCUUUGCCUGAUGCUCAUUACCUGAGUUGUUUCCCUGCAAAUGCAGCGCCCCCUGGGCUCCAGUUCACUGAAGUUCUCAUCUGAGCAUGUGCAACAACAGCUGUCUGAAGUGUAUACACCUCAUCCGAGAUACAGCUUCCAUUUUCAAAUGGGAUGGAAGCAGGUGUGAAGGAAGAAACUUUGAACUGCAGUAUUUCUCAAGAAGCAACAGGGUAGAUAUGGAUUGUGGCCAAUGUCAUGUGUGCUCACCUUCAAACACCAGCAGUGGGAGUGUGCUAGAGUUAGGAGUCAACAGGAAUGUGUACACAACCUCUUGCUAGCUAAGCUCUUUCUGCUUCAGGGCAGAUGUUCUCUCAUUUGGGUGGUGCCUUGGGUUGGGCUGCUUUUCUCUCCUGGGUUUUAGAACAACUCAGCCUCCCUAAUCCAAUUUGUUUACUGUGUUAUCAGCUAAUCCCUUUCCCAGCUUCUCAGAGGAUUGCAUGGUAGCAGGAUAGCCAAGGACCUUGUUCUAACUAGCAGCGACAAUAGAUGACAAGGGAAGCCUGCGACUCUUGCUGCUCUCCCUACCUGCCCUCGGAGGAAGAACCACCCCCGGCAUGAGAGACAACAGGACCAUGAUGGCAUCCACGGCUCUUUAGCCUUUCUGCAGGUGGCAGGAUGCUGGGCUGGAUUGAGAAAGUCGUACCGCAACCUCCUGUCAGCUCCCCCAUCUCUGUAGUAGUGGAAAAAGACACACAGGCUGACCAAAUAGCUGUAGAAGCUGGGCCUGUAUCUGCAAGGCAGCUGACAGAAAGAAGUCCCAGGAUUGCUGCAGAAGGUAAGAAUUGGGGGUGAUGGGGAGGGGAAAGAAGAGUACGUGUGUAUAAGUGCUGGAGACAAGGCAGAGUUUG